rnacentral:rRNA from 1 species
CCUACGGGACGCACCAGUGGGGAAUAUUGCACAAUGGGCGCAAGCCUGAUGCAGCCAUGCCGCGUGUAUGAAGAAGGCCUUCGGGUUGUAAAGUACUUUCAGCGAGGAGGAAGGCGUUAAGGUUANUAACCUUGGCGAUUGACGUUACUCGCAGAAGAAGCACCGGCUAACUCCGUGCCAGCAGCCGCGGUAAUACGGAGGGUGCAAGCGUUAAUCGGAAUUACUGGGCGUAAAGCGCACGCAGGCGGUCUGUUAAGUCAGAUGUGAAAUCCCCGGGCUUAACCUGGGAACUGCAUUUGAAACUGGCAGGCUUGAGUCUCGUAGAGGGGGGUAGAAUUCCAGGUGUAGCGGUGAAAUGCGUAAAGAUCUGGAGGAAUACCGGUGGCGAAGGCGGCCCCCUGGACAAAGACUGACGCUCAGGUGCGAAAGCGUGGGGAGCAAACAGGAUUAGAUACCCGCGUAGUC